UACAGAGGGUGCAAGCGUUGUCCGGAUUUAUUGGGCGUAAAGGGCGCGUAGGCGGUGCGGUAAGUCACCUGUGAAAUCUCCUGGCUCAACUGGGAGCUUGCAGGCGAAACUGCCGUGCUGGAGUGUGGGAGAGGUGCGUGGAAUUCCUGGUGUAGCGGUGAAAUGCGUAGAUAUCAGGAGGAACACCUGUGGCGAAAGCGGCGCACUGGACCACAACUGACGCUGAGGCGCGAAAGCUAGGGGAGCAAACAGG
rnacentral:rRNA from 1 species